GGAGCAUGUGGUUUAAUUCGAUACAAAGCGAAGAACCUUACCAGGGCUUGACAUGCCACGAAUCCUCUUGAAAGAGAGGGGCGCCUUCGGGAAUGCGGACACAGGUGUGGCUGUCGUCAGCUCGUGCCRUAAGGUGUUGGGUUAAGUCCCGCAAUGAGCGCAACCCUCGUGUUUAGUUGCCACUGUUGAGUUUGGAACCCUGAACAGACUGCCGGUGAUAAGCCGGAGGAAGGUGAGGAUGACGUCAAGUCAUCAUGCCCCUCAUGCCCUGGGCGACACACGUGCUACAAUGGCUGGGACAAAGGGUCGUGAUCCCGCGAGGGUGAGCUAACUCCAAAAACCCGUCCUCAGUUNNNN
rnacentral:ncRNA from 1 species